UUAAAAAUUAUUCGAUCAUCCUUCAUCUUUAGAUCUAGUUUGUAGGUGCUAGUUAGACUUGGUACUCCAGAGGAAUUUGAGCCCUGGGAGCCCAGAGGAAGGAGAUUAAGCCUUGCCUUUGUGUUUUCUGUUCCCUAUUUCUGACUCCGUGACUGAAAGUCCAGAGGUGAGCCGAACACUGUGAACUGAAUUCCCGUCUGGAAGUCUCACCUUUCCAGGGUCUGCUGCCACAGAGCUGGCUCAGGAAACUCUGGAAAUGAACUUUAUGCAGUGUGCAAUUUGACUCUGCCGUGCCAGCUGGAAUACACCUUUAGGAGCUGAGUAGGUUUAAAGUGGCGGAUCCUGUCUUAAGACUAGACAUGAGAGCUCCUGGCCUUCGGACUCCGUGACUUACACCAGCUGCUUGUCCACUCUCCUCCCGUCCCACCAUCCAGCUUCUCAGGCCUCUGGCCUCAGACUGGGCAUUACAUCAUCUGCAACCCUGCUUCUCAAGCCUUCAGACUCGGACUGAAUUAUACCGCUGUCUUUCCUAGGUCUUCACCUUGCAGACAGCAGAACCUGGGACUUCCUGGCCUCCAUAAUCACGUCAUGUCCCAGGAGAAAGGAAACGAGCCCCAAUGCUCUGCCUUAUCACUUUGAGGAAGAGAUGGCCAGAGAGAAUGAACCUCCUAUUCCUAUCCUGGAGCCUGCUAACCCUGAGAAACCACCUGCUUGGAAAGUGUUCUGGACUUCCUCAGUUUCUCCAAUGCAAACGAAUACUCACCAGUGCCACAGAGACAUAU